AGCGUUGUUCGGAAUUACUGGGCGUAAAGCGCACGUAGGCGGCUUUGCAAGUCAGAGGUGAAAGCCCGGGGCUCAACCCCGGAAUUGCCUUUGAGACUGCAUCGCUAGAAUUGUGGAGAGGUAAGUGGAAUUCCGAGUGUAGAGGUGAAAUUCGUAGAUAUUCGGAAGAACACCAGUGGCGAAGGCGACUUACUGGACAAAUAUUGACGCUGAGGUGCGAAAGCGUGGGGAGCAAACAGG
rnacentral:rRNA from 1 species